rnacentral:SRP_RNA from 1 species
GCCGGGCGUGGUGGCACACGCCUGUAAUCCCAGCUACUCGGGAGGCUGAGGCAGGAGAAUCACUUGAACCCGGGAGGCUGAGAUUUCAGUGAGCAGAGAUCGCACCACUGCACCCCAGCCUGGGUGACAGAGUGAGACUCCGUCUCAA